AUGCAAGUCGAACGGAAAGGCCCUGCUUGCAGGGUACUCGAGUGGCGAACGGGUGAGUAACACGUGGGUGAUCUGCCCAGCACUUCGGGAUAAGCCUGGGAAACUGGGUCUAAUACCGGAUAGGAGCCACUUUUAGUGUGAUGGUUGGUAAAGUUUUUCGGUUGUAGGAUGAGCUCGCGGCCUAUCAGCUUGUUGGUGGGGUAAUGGCCUACCAAGGCGGCGACGGUAGCCGGCCUGAGAGGGUGGACGGCCACAUUGGGACUGAGAUACGGCCAGACUCC
rnacentral:rRNA from 1 species